rnacentral:rRNA from 1 species
UACGGAGGAUGCGAGCGUUAUCCGGAUUUAUUGGGUUUAAAGGGUGCGUAGGCGGGAUGCCAAGUCAGCGGUCAAAUACGGGGGCUCAACCUGCGUCCGCCGUUGAAACUGACGGUCUUGAGUGGGCGAGAAGUAUGCGGAAUGCGUGGUGUAGCGGUGAAAUGCAUAGAUAUCACGCAGAACGCCGAUUGCGAAGGCAGCUUACCGGCGCUCAACUGACGCUGAGGCACGAAAGUGCGGGUAUCGAACAGG